GAUUCGGUGCCCAGCAUCCGCCUGCGCGCCGGCUCCGCUUCUCCCACGAGCCGCGCGUGGGCGGCGCCGAGCCUGACCCCGCGUAGACCCGCCGGCCGCGCAGGCCCCGCUCGCACGGCCCAGAGGGGCCGUGGGAAAGUUUCCCCCCGCCUGUGCUCAGCCCCUUACCGGAGCAACCAAAGUCUGUGCUUUCUCCCCAGCCUUCACCUAGCGCCUCUGGAGUGCAGACUCUAAGCUCUGUGCAGCGUCUGUUCCCAGCUUAAAAUCGGCAGACGUCCUGAUGGCCACCCCUCCUCAUCCCUGACUCUAAAGGUGGCACCGCUACCUGGGUUCAGUUUUCCCUCCUGAUGUGUCUCUGUCGCUUACCUUCUGGUGACUGGGGGUUCCACCCAUGCGCAACCGAGAUUAACCGCUAAAGAGAUCUGACUCUUGGCAAAUUGCAGUUGAGAGGUGCAGUGCACAUUUUGAAAGAAAGGCAGCUGCAGUUCAAGGCUGUGGUGUACAAGUGUGCCGUAAAUGGUGUCCCAGCAAAGAGCAAUACACUUUAGGGAGGUGACAAAGGAAAACAGCUCCAGGCUGUAACAGCUCACUCUGUGAAGACAGCAAGCACUGAAUUUCGGACUGCCAUCUACUCUCCCUACAAAAGACUAAAGCUUCAGGGUAUCUUAGCAUUUAAAGUCAUGGUCUUAAACACCAUGAAAACACAAUCUACAGAUUUACCAAAACAUUAGCACUUGCAUUGUCUGAAUUAUUUCAUGCAGCUCUUUGUGGAUUUCAGUAUUAUGAAUGGUUGUCUCUCCUGUCCUUUGUUGAAGUAAUCCCAAGUUUUCAGCUAAUAAUCUCAUCUGCUAAUUUUACUGCUCGCUACUUGGUGAAUAAAGAAACCUAUAUUAUCAACUCCCUGAAGAAAAAGGUAUGAGACUUGCUCAGAUGGAAUACAACUUGUAUGGCAAAGUUCUU